CUUGUCCUUGUCAAGGUGGAGGUUAAUCAUUCAAUGAUAGUUUAUUGAGGGUGAUUAUGCUGAAACCUUUUACACAAACCAAACACCGCAUCACAUUAAUCUUGUCAGAUUAAUUGUUGAUGCAAUUUUUGAAGCC